rnacentral:rRNA from 1 species
CCUACGGGUGGCAGCAGUGAGGAAUAUUGGACAAUGGACGAGAGUCUGAACCAGCGAAGUAGCGUGAAGGAUGAAUGCUCUAUGGGUUGUAAACUUCUUUUAUAAAGGAAUAAAACGAGGCACGUGUGCCUUUUUGCAUGUACUUUAUGAAUAAGGAUCCGCAAACUCCGUGCCAGCAGCCGCGGUAAUACGGAGGAUCCGAGUGUUAUCCGGAUUUAUUGGGUUUAAAGGGCGCGUAGAUGGGUUGUUAAGUCAGUUGUGAAAGUUUACGGCUCAACCGUAAAAUUGCCAUGGAUACUGGCAGUCUUGAGUACAGUUGAGGUAGGCGGAAUUCGUGGUGUAGCGGUGAAAUGCGUAGAUAUCGCGAAGAACCCCGAUUGCGAAGGCAGCUUUCUAAACUGUGACUGACAUUGAUGCGCGAAAGUGUGGGUAUCAAACAGGAUUAGAUACCCCAGUAGUC